rnacentral:rRNA from 1 species
GAUUCUGGCUCAGGAUGAACGCUAGCUACAGGCUUAACACAUGCAAGUCGAGGGGCAUCAUGGAGUUUGCUUGCAAACUCUGGAUGGCGACCGGCGCACGGGUGAGUAACGCGUAUCCGAACCUUCCCUAUAGUAGAGGAUAGCCCGGCGAAAGUCGGAUUAAUACUCUAUGGUUUUCCCGUUGCAGACAUCUAAGAUGGAACAAAGGCUUGCCGCUAUAGGAUGGGGGAUGCGUCUGAUUAGGUAGUCGGCGGGGUAACGGCCCACCGAGCCAUCGAUCAGUAGGGGUUCUGAGAGGAAGGUCCCCCCACAUUGGAACUGAGACACGGUCCAAACUCCUACGGGAGGCAGGCAGUGAGGAAUAUUGGUCAAUGGGCGAGAGCCUGAACCAGCCAAGUAGCGUGCAGGACGACGGCCCUAUGGGUUGUAAACUGCUUUUAUGCGGGGAUAAAGUUCACUACGUGUAGUGUUUUGUAGGUACCGCAUGAAUAAGGACCGGCUAAUUCCGUGCCAGCAGCGGC